UACGGAGGGUGCAAACGUUGCUCGGAAUUAUUGGGCGUAAAGCGCACGUAGGCGGUUCGUUAUGUCGGAUGUGAAAGCCCUCGGCUUAACCGAGGAAGUGCAUCCGAAACUGGCGAGCUUGAGUACGGAAGAGGGUCUCGGAAUUCCCGGUGUAGAGGUGAAAUUCGUAGAUAUCGGGAGGAACACCAGUGGCGAAGGCAGCUCGCUGGGACGUGACUGACGCUGAGACGCGAAAGCGUGGGGAGCAAACAGG
rnacentral:rRNA from 1 species